rnacentral:ncRNA from 1 species
AUAAAAUUUAAUUUUUAUUUAAAAAUUUAUUGAAUUGGUGAGUAUAUAGAUAAAUUUUGGUGAGGUUAUAGGGAAAUUUAAAAAAUUACGUAAGGUAUGAGGAAGAUAAUAUAUAGAAUGUUAAGUUUAAUAAGGAUUAAUAAAAGUCAUUAAGAUAACAGCGAUAAACAUUAGUGCCAGCAAUUGCGGUUAGACUAAGAGCUGUGUGUAAAUUUAUAUAGUUAAGAAUAGAUAAUGGUUAAAUUUAGAGUUUUAGGGGACAUAGGAUUAUAUGGUGAAAUAUGUAAUUUGAGGAGAAUUAAGACGAUAAAGAAAUUCGAGAAGUUAUGAGGGAGACUAGGAUUAGAUACCCUAUUAUUGUAAUUAGUUUAAAGUAAUGAGAGAGUAGGCCUAAAGAGGGUUGAAAUUUAAAUAGUUUGGCGGUAUCUUAGGUAAAAUUAGAGGAAUUUGUUGAGUAAUUGAUAAUCCACGAUAGGAGGGACCUAAAAAGUUUUUAUAUAUUGUUGUUUAAAAGAUUAAAUUAUAAGAUGAUGAUUGGGAUAUUAUAUGAUAAUUAAAAUUCAAAUCAAAAUGUAGAGUUUUUAGGGUUAGAUGAAUUACAAUUUAAUUUAUUAAUGGAUUAAUAAUUUUAAUAUUAUAAUGAAAAAGGAUUUAAGAGUAAAUUUACAAAAUAAUGUAGGUUGAAGUUUUAAUUGAGAUGCGUACAAAUUGCCCGUCAUUUUCAUGAAAUUAUAAGUGAAAGAAGUCGUAACAAAGUAAGUGUAUGGGAACAUGUACUUAGAUUGUU